rnacentral:rRNA from 1 species
UACGUAGGUGGCAAGCGUUGUCCGGAAUUAUUGGGCGUAAAGCGCGCGCAGGUGGUUUCUUAAGUCUGAUGUGAAAGCCCACGGCUCAACCGUGGAGGGUCAUUGGAAACUGGGGGACUUGAGUGCAGAAGAGGAAAGUGGAAUUCCACGUGUAGCGGUGAAAUGCGUAGAGAUGUGGAGGAACACCAGUGGCGAAGGCGACUUUCUGGUCUGUAACUGACGCUGAGGCGCGAAAGCGUGGGGAGCAAACAGG